rnacentral:rRNA from 1 species
GACGAACGCUGGCGGCGUGCCUAACACAUGCAAGUCGAGCGAUGAAGUUCUUCGGAAUGGAUUAGCGGCGGACGGGUGAGUAACACGUGGGCAACCUGCCUUGUAGAGGGGAAUAGCCUUCCGAAAGGAAGAUUAAUACCGCAUAAUGUUAUGUCUUCGCAUGAAGAUAUAAUUAAAGGAGUAAUCCGCUACAAGAUGGGCCCGCGGCGCAUUAGCUAGUUGGUGAGGUAACGGCUCACCAAGGCAACGAUGCGUAGCCGACCUGAGAGGGUGAUCGGCCACAUUGGGACUGAGACACGGCCCAGACUCCUACGGGAGGCAGCAGUGGGGAAUAUUGCACAAUGGGGGAAACCCUGAUGCAGCAACGCCGCGUGAGUGAUGACGGCCUUCGGGUUGUAAAGCUCUGUCUUCAGGGACGAUAAUGACGGUACCUGAGGAGGAAGCCACGGCUAACUACGUGCCAGCAGCCGCAGUA